rnacentral:rRNA from 1 species
GACGAACGCUGGCGGCGUGCUUAACACAUGCAAGUCGAACGGAAAGGACCUGCUUUUGUGGGGUGCUCGAGUGGCGAACGGGUGAGUAACACGGGAGUAACUUGCCCUUGACUUUGGGAUAACUUCAGGAAACUGGGGCUAAUACCGGAUAGGAGCUCCUGCUGCAUGGUGGGGGUUGGAAAGUUUCGGAGGUUGGGGAUGGACUCGCGGCGGAUCAGCUUGUUGGUGGGGUAGUGGCUUACCAAGGCUUUGACGGGUAGCCGGCCUGAGAGGGUGACCGGCCACAUUGGGACUGAGAUACGGCCCGGACUCCUACGGGAGGCAGCAGUGGGGAAUAUUGCACAAUGGGCGGAAGCCUGAUGCAGCAACGCCGCGUGCGGGAUGACGGCCUUCGGGUUGUAAACCGCUUUCGCCUGUGACGAAGCGUGAGUGACGGUAAUGGGUAAAGAAGCACCGGCUAACUACAUG